rnacentral:rRNA from 1 species
GACGAACGCUGGCGGCGUGCUUAACACAUGCAAGUCGAGCGGAGCGGCGAACGGGUGAGUAACGCGUGAGUAACUGCCCCCCUCUCUGGGAUAACAGUUGGAAACGGCUGCUAAUACCGGAUAGUGGGGGAUGCCUCGCGGCCUAUCAGCUUGUUGGUGGGGUAGUGGCCUACCAAGGCGACGACGGGUAGCCGGCCUGAGAGGGAGACCGGCGACAUUGGGCUGCGGUACGGCCCAAACUCGUACAGUAGGCAACAGUGGGAAAUAUGGCACAAUGGGGGAGAGCCUGAUGCAGCAGCGCCGCGUGCGGGAUGACGGCCUUCGGGUUGUAAACCGCUUUCAGCCAUGACGCGGUAGUGGCAGAAGAAGCACCGGCUAACUACGUGCCAGCAGCCGCGGUAAUUC